AUUAUUCUACAGAAUAAUUCCAUGGAUGAUGUGUCAAUCUAGUAUGAACUAAUGUACACAGAAUACAAAGUGUCAUUUGGCAAUGAUAUAAAUUGUUCCAAUGAUGCCAUUACUGUUGCUACCAAAAGUUGAUAAGAAACAUUGGAAGUGGAACAUUGCCUACAAGUACAACUCCAGAAAGAAUUUCAAUGGACGGUGCUGUAAACUAGAACUUGGACAUUGAUAGUUUAGAUCAGGACAAUAUUGCAUAUGCAAUUCCAGCUUUUAGUUUUGUGUGCAGGGGACGAUGGGAAGUAAGGUAUCACAUUGCUGAUUAUGCUGAAAAAAUAAAAAUGAUGGCCGUGUAAACACGGAGUGAUAGCUUAUACUUGUAAGUAUUGAAAUAUUUUGGUUGCUUCGGUAGUUUUUAUUGAAAUUUUUCAGCAUAAUCAGCACUAUGAUAGCUUACUUCCUAUCAUCCCCUGCAGGCAUAAACUAAAAGCUGGAAUUGCCUAUUUGAUGCUAUUGAAGCUCUUGUAUCCAGAAGAGAUAUUAUUGUUCAUUGUUGUGGUCCCAACUGGCUGCCAAAACAAAGGCAUCUGUUUGAGUUGAUUAAUUAGGUAUAUCU
rnacentral:lncRNA from 1 species